GUUCUUAUGGUUGAAGCCUACAACGAU
rnacentral:tRNA from 1 species